GCUUUAUAAAUUUAAAGAUUUUAUAUAUUUUUUAUUAUAAUGAUAAUUUCUCAAAAAUUUAUUGGGUUGGGGCAACAAAAGUAUAAUUAUCAAUAACUGCUAUAAAUUACUACAAUUAUUUUUGUUAUUAGAGAGUUGUUGAUCCUCGAAAGGGAUUAAAAGAUCAAGUU
rnacentral:rRNA from 1 species